AUACGGAGGACGCGAGCGUUAUCCGGAUUCAUUGGGUUUAAAGGGUGCGCAGGCGGCCGUGCAAGUCAGCGGUGAAAGCCCGGGGCUCAACCCCGGAAGUGCCGUUGAUACUGCAUGGCUGGAAUGCGGUCGAGGGGGGCGGAACGUGGCGUGUAGCGGUGAAAUGCGUAGAUAUGCCACAGAACGCCGAUAGCGGAGGCAGCUCUCCAGGCCUGCAUUGUCGCUCGGGCGCGAAAGCGUGGGGAUCGAACAGGAUUAGAUACCCUGGUAGUCCACGCCGUAAACGAUGGGCGCUCGUCGUCGGCGGCAGACAGUCGGCGGCCAAGCGAAAGCGAUAAGCGCCCCACCUGGGGAGUACGGUCGCAAGGCUGAAACUCAAAUGAAUUGACGGGG
rnacentral:rRNA from 1 species